rnacentral:rRNA from 1 species
GAUGAACGCUGGCGGCGUGCCUAAUACAUGCCAGUCGAGCGAACAGACGAGGAGCUUGCUCCUCUGACGUUAGCGGCGGACGGGUGAGUAACACGUGGAUAACCUACCUAUAAGACUGGGAUAACUUCGGGAAACCGGAGCUAAUACCGGAUAAUAUAUUGAACCGCAUGGUUCAAUAGUGAAAGACGGUUUUGCUGUCACUUAUAGAUGGAUCCGCGCCGCAUUAGCUAGUUGGUAAGGUAACGGCUUACCAAGGCAACGAUGCGUAGCCGACCUGAGAGGGUGAUCCGCCACACUGGAACCGAGACACGGUCCAGACUCCUACGGGAGGCAGCCGUAGGGAAUCUUCCGCAAUGGGCGAAAGCCUGACGGAGCAACGCCGCGUGAGUGAUGAAGGUCUUCGGAUCGUAAAACUCUGUUAUUAGGGAAGAACAAAUGUGUAAGUAACUAUGCACGUCUUGACGGUACCUAAUCAGAAAGCCACGGCUAACUACGUG